AACGAACGCUGGCGGCAUGCCUAACACAUGCAAGUCGAACGAGACCUUCGGGUCUAGUGGCGCACGGGUGCGUAACGCGUGGGAACCUGCCCUUAGGUUCGGAAUAACUCCCCGAAAGGGGUGCUAAUACCGGAUAAUGUCUUCGGACCAAAGAUUUAUCGCCUUUGGAUGGGCCGGCGUUGGAUUAGCUAGUUGGUAGGGUAAAAGCCUACCAAGGCGACGAUCCAUAGCUGGUCUGAGAGGAUGAUCAGCCACACUGGGACUGGGACACGGCCCAGACUCCUACGGGAGGCAGCAGUGGGGAAUAUUGGAAAAUGGGCGAAAGCCUGAUCCAGCAAUGCCGCGUGAGUGAUGAAGGCCUUAGGGUUGUAAAGCUCUUUUACCCGGGAUGAUAAUGACAGUACCGGGAGAAUAAGCUCCGGCUAACUCCGUG
rnacentral:rRNA from 1 species